rnacentral:tRNA from 1 species
GGCUCUGUGGCGCAAUGGAUAGCGCAUUGGACUUCUAAUUCAAAGGUUGUGGGUUCAAAUCCCACCAGAGUCG